CGAAAACAUUUAAAAAUAAACAACUUAUAAUCGAAAGCACAUAAAGUAAUCCGAGAAUUUAAUAUAUUUAAGCUAUGCCAAUAAGAAGCAGAGGGGACAAUUUGAGUCGUCAAACGAUGAGCAAAUGAGCGUGUGAGCAUGACGCGAUGUUGUGAAUCACAAUCGCAAGAGGACCGAGAUGAACGAAAUCAACAAAGGCAACUAGAACGGAGAGUAACGCGCAGAUAUGUGGUCGACAGACGUAGAGGAAUUGAACAACAACGCAACAAACGUAGAAGAUCCAGAUUCGAUGGUUAAUUAAUCUUAUAAUUGAUAGAUAGGCCGCUUCACCACUGUGUGGCAUAUGGAUCAGUGAUCAUCUGGAUUUUGGGCUGCUUCCGAGUUCGAAGAUUUGAAAAAGAGACGGUUUUCGGAGAGAGGGCAUAAGAGAGCAUCUCUCUCGAGCCUGUUGAUUGGGACAAGAUGAGGAAAAGAAAAUGGAAAAAAGGACGGUUUUGCUGGAGGCUGCAAAAAUUGCCUUUCAAACGCCAGAAGACUCCUUUAAAGGCAGCCAGCGUCGUGGACGAUCCUCGCCUUAAAUCCGGCCUUAUAUCCUUAGGCCGGCCUUAU